CCUCUUUCCAUCACUUUCUCAAGAAAACACAAUCCUAAACUUCUCACAUUCUUCCACUUGCGUUAUCGCCGCCCUUUCCAAAUCUAUCUCGUCCCUGUUGCCUUUUAAUUUUGGGGAUCGUGGAUUGGAAAGGCGUUUAAAGAGAGUAAUUUAUUAGGGUUUUUGUUUGAUAGAAAAACGAGAGAGAGAGAGAAAGAUGGGGAGCGUGGAUCGACUUGAGGAUCGGACGUUUAAGGUUAAUUUCACCGGAGAUGGAGCGGAUAAGUUGAGAGAGAGCGUUAAGGAUAAGCUCAAGGAGUUCAUGGGCGAUUAUACUGACGAUACGCUUGUGGAAUACGUGAUUGUCUUACUGAGAAAUGGCAGGCGUAAAGAAGAAGCUAGGCAUGAAUUGCAUGUUUUUCUGGGGGAUGAUAGUGAUUCUUUUGUAUCUUGGUUGUGGGAUCACCUGGCUUCAAAUUUGGACUUAUAUGUACAGCCUCAGGAGACUUAUUUAAGUGAUGUAGUCCAAACAAAACCCACACUGGGAGACCAUGCUGGGAGCGAUGAAUCUCAUCAUAUUGAUUCCGAAUCUGGGAAAGGGAAGUCUGAUAACUUAUCCGUAAGUCGACACAAAAGAGAAUGGAAAGGCUUAAUGAGGGAUGCAACUGAACCACCUCCUCUUCGAAGCUCUGAGGUUGAUAUUGGACAUUUGGAUGAAAGAAGUCAUCACAAAUCAAGUCAUGCAAGAAGAUCUCCGUCUCCUUGCCCUCCACAACAGAAGAAGAGGAGUCGGCAGGAUGAGCGACAGCAUAUGAAGAGGGAGGCAGUUUCUCAAGCAACCAUUGAUGCUCCUCGACGACUUCUUCAAUUUGCAGUGCGAGAUGCUGUGGGAAAUUUGAGGCCAUCUGGUCUGGUAAAAGAACCCUCACUAAAGCGGCUUCGUUCUGUGGUGUCUACAUCCACUGGGGAAUCAUCAUUAAUUGAUCGUCCUAGGAGGAUUCAGUCAAUUGCUAGAGUUCCAAAUCCUAUGGCUACUGUAAUUAAAGCUGUUCAAGAAGCUGCUAAAGAUGUAAAAGUUAAAUCUUCAAAAAGUGUGUUUGACCGACUUGGUCGUGAAAUGGAUAUAUCAGAUACUACUGAACUAGUCAGAGACAUUAGAGAUGUUGCUGUUGAUGAUGAAGAAUUUAACCAAAUUCCUGAGCAGACUGUCCCGAUCUAUAAUCAAAGACGUAGAGCAAAUAUUGGAAUUAUGGAGAGUGAAACCAGGUUGGCUGGUCACUCGUUGUAUGACAAUGAAGGUUAUGACAAUGAUAAUGUUUUAGGCCAGAGCGUUAUGGAUGUUUCUGAGACUGGCACAUCUGGUGGAGAUAUGAGGGAGGAUUCACUCAUGGUACAAUACAGUGUAGCUAAGAAAGCUGAUGAUAUAAUGCAAAUAACUCGAAAUAAGGAUCAAGACCAACCUGUUUCAUCUGCAAAAGCUUCAGCAAACAUUUCUGUGAAUCUAAAUAUCUGGAAACCCCCUCAUUAUCAGGAAUCAAGAGAGGUUGCAGAAAUGGGUAACUGGAAAUCUGUUGGGGAGAAUGAGGAAGAUGCUGAGAAAUCUGGUAUGCGAGUAAUGAAGGAGAAUGGCUACCCUGUUAUGGUUGGUAAUGGAAAUGCGAAACCUGUUGCUGAUAUGCAGAAAGAAUUUCAGAAGACACUGCAAACUGUACCUGGUUCAUAUGCUAUUAGUCGUCCAUUAGAGGAUGCUGAUUCUCGAACCAUUUUUGUUAGCAAUGUUCACUUUGCUGCUACUAAGGACAGCCUUUCUCGGCAUUUUAAUAAGUUUGGUGAAGUGCUCAAAGUGGUUAUAGUCACUGAUGCAGCAACAGGGCAGCCAAAGGGGUCAGCUUAUGUAGAAUUUAUGCGAAAAGAGGCGGCAGACAAUGCAUUAUCUCUUGAUGGUACUUCCUUUAUGUCACGGAUUCUCAAGGUUGUUAAGAGAAGCUCUGCUCACCAAGAAGCAACUCCCAUCAUGACAUGGCCCCGUAUUUUCCGUGGUUCUCAAUAUGCUACUACUAGGUUUACCAGAGUUCCUUUUGCUAGAGGUAUUCCUGGUGCAUUUAGGCCUCG
rnacentral:misc_RNA from 1 species